rnacentral:rRNA from 1 species
GAUGAACGCUGGCGGCGUGCCUAAUACAUGCAAGUCGAGCGAACGGACGAGAAGCUUGCUUCUCUGAUGUUAGCGGCGGACGGGUGAGUAACACGUGGAUAACCUACCUAUAAGACUGGGAUAACUUCGGGAAACCGGAGCUAAUACCGGAUAAUAUUUUGAACCGCAUGGUUCAAAAGUGAAAGACGGUCUUGCUGUCACUUAUAGCUGGAUCCGCGCUGCAUUAGCUAGUUGGUAAGGUAACGGCUUACCAAGGCAACGAUGCAUAGCCGACCUGAGAGGGGGAUCGCCCACACUGGAACUGAGACACGGUCCAGACUCCUACGGGAGGCAGCAGUAGGGAAUCGUCCGCAAUGGGCGAAAGCCUGACGGAGCAACGCCGCGUGAGUGAUGAAGGUCUUCGGAUCGUAAAACUCUGUUAUUAGGGAAGAACAUAUGUGUAAGUAACUGUGCACAUCUUGACGGUACCUAAUCAGAAAGCCACGGCUAACUACGUG